rnacentral:rRNA from 1 species
UAGGGAAUCUUCGGAAAUGGACGAAAGUCUGACCGAGCAACGCCGCGUGAGUGAAGAAGGUUUUCGGAUCGUAAAACUCUGUUGUUAGAGAAGAACAAGGACGUUAGUAACUGAACGUCCCCUGACGGUAUCUAACCAGAAAGCCACGGCUAACUACGUGCCAGCAGCCGCGGUAAUACGCAGGUGGCAAGCGUUGUCCGGAUUUAUUGGGCGUAAAGCGAGCGCAGGCGGUUUCUUAAGUCUGAUGUGAAAGCCCCCGGCUCAACCGGGGAGGGUCAUUGGAAACUUGGAGACUUGAGUGCAGAAGACGAGAGUGGAAUUCCAUGUGUAGCGGUGAAAUGCGUAGAUAUAUGAAGGAACACCAGUGGCGAUGUCGGCUCUCUGGUCUGUAACUGACGCUGAGGCUCGAAAGCGUGGGGAGCGGACAGG